UACGUAGGGGGCAAGCGUUGUCCGGAAUCAUUGGGCGUAAAGAGCGUGUAGGCGGUCCGGUAAGUCCGCUGUGAAAGUCGGGGGCUCAACCCUCGAAUGCCGGUGGAUACUGUUGGGCUAGAGUACGGAAGAGGCGAGUGGAAUUCCUGGUGUAGCGGUGAAAUGCGCAGAUAUCAGGAGGAACACCUAUUGCGAAGGCAGCUCGCUGGGACGUAACUGACGCUGAGACGCGAAAGCGUGGGGAGCAAACAGG
rnacentral:rRNA from 1 species